rnacentral:misc_RNA from 1 species
AUAAUUCCGAAUAUCUUCUUGCUGCAAAUAGCACUCAGAUUCAAUUGCUUUGCUAAUGUAACAAUAAAAGGAGGCAUAAAAAAAAUGUUAAUGAAGUUCCUAUAUAGACUCAGAAUUAGAUACUGCACACAGGUUAUUUGUCAAAAUUAUGGAUUGACAUGAUAUUCAGAAUAUAGAUAUGAGCUAAAUCAAAACUGUACAGAGGAAACAUUACUACAAACUAGAUAUAGAGUCAUAAUUAAGAUGGCUUGGUUAUGUCUAACGUAAAGUACAAGACGCUCCUAAAUGGAAAUUUAAAAAAUUAGUGAUGGAAGAAGCAAGGAGGAAAACAGAGAGACAUAAAAUAACUUGGAGGAAAAUAGUGUCAAAAAAUUUAUAUUUUUUGAAUAUUAACGCGGAAUUGGUCUCAAACAUAGCUGAAUGGCCAAAAAAGAUCCAUAUACCAACCCCAACUAGUUUGUGAUUAAGAAUUAGUUGUUGUUGUUUGUAGAGAAAAGAUUCAACCUUAGCUGUAACUGUAGAAAUGCCCUAAGAUGUAAAGGAAUGCAUAAUUGCUACAAGUCUACAACUAGAAGAAUU